rnacentral:rRNA from 1 species
AACGAACGCUGGCGGCAUGCCUAACACAUGCAAGUCGAACGAGACCUUCGGGUCUAGUGGCGCACGGGUGCGUAACGCGUGGGAACCUGCCCUUAGGUUCGGAAUAACUCCCCGAAAGGGGUGCUAAUACCGGAUAAUGUCUUCGGACCAAAGAUUUAUCGCCUUUGGAUGGGCCCGCGUUGGAUUAGCUAGUUGGUAGGGUAAAAGCCUACCAAGGCGACGAUCCAUAGCUGGUCUGAGAGGAUGAUCAGCCACACUGGGACUGAGACACGGCCCAGACUCCUACGGGAGGCAGCAGUGGGGAAUAUUGGACAAUGGGCGAAAGCCUGAUCCAGCAAUGCCGCGUGAGUGAUGAAGGCCUUAGGGUUGUAAAGCUCUUUUACCCGGGAUGAUAAGGACAGUACCGGGAGAAGAAGCUCCGGCUAACUCCG